UUCAAGAUCCGAUUUCAAACAUCUCGGAUGUUAUUGCAGUGAUCAUCCAGGCAAAAGUUGCAUUUGCUCGGAUCGUUAAUUUCCUUGAUGCACCAGAACUGCAAAGUGAAAAUUGCAGGAAAAGGUGCUUUAACAACAACCUCAAAGACUCAAUUUCAAUAAAAUGUGCAGACUUUUCAUUGGAAGAUAAUGCAUCAAAGCCAACACUAAGGAACAUAAACUUGGACGUUAGACAUGGACAAAAUGUGGCAAUUUGUGGAGAAGUUGGCUCAGGCAAAUCAACCCUAUUAGCAACUAUUCUUGGAGAAGUUUCUAAAACAAAGGGAACUGUAAGUUUUUGUUUCCUUUAUACUCUUACAAUACACUCCUAAAUAAUGUGAUACUCUAAUUGGUUGUAAUUUGGAUGAUAUUCCUAUUUUUAUUAAAAUAACAACUAAUGUAUUUUUCCACUGUGGUAUCAGUAAAAUGGAUACACUAAUGUCCUAUCAUAUAAAUUCAAUUUAUGGUAAUAAAUUUUAUCUGCCCUACAUUUAAAUUGUAAUAUUAAUUGGUGUCUGAAUCUCUAAUCUAACUCACAGAUUGAUGUUCAUGGGAAGUUUGCAUAUGUGUCUCAAACAGCAUGGAUACAAACAAGCACAGUACGGGAAAAUAUUUUAUUUGGAUCAGAGUUGGAUGAUCAAAGAUAUCAAGAAACACUUCAGAGGUCUUCACUGGUAAAAGACCUUGAGUUGUUUCCCAAUGGGGACCUCACUGAAAUAGGUGAGAGAGGAGUUAAUUUAAGUGGAGGACAAAAGCAACGAAUUCAACUUGCACGUGCUCUUUAUCAGAAUGCUGAUAUAUAUCUAUUGGAUGAUCCGUUUAGUGCUGUUGAUGCACAUACUGCAAAAAAUUUGUUUAAUGUAAUGACAUAUUUACUUCUCAUACUACUUGUACAUGUCUACCAUCAUUUUUUUUACUAAAGAUGGCCUAAAAACUUGGCAGGACUACAUCAUGGAAGGACUCAGAGGCAAAACAGUCUUACUCGUGACUCAUCAAGUCGACUUCCUCCCAGCCUUUGAUUCUAUUUUGGUAAAUUCAAACACCUUAAGUAAUCUACAUGUAACCAUUAAUAAUAAAAUAUUCAUUAAUUUAAAAUUACGGAUUUCAUUUUUAACAUAACCUCCCUCCAUAUCAUUCCUGUUUAUCCAAAUUCUACCUAUCUAAGGUAACAUAAUACAAUGAGAAAUGACAUUGUUAGAUUUUGUUGCAAAGUUGCUUUUAUAGUUUAAUUAACCAAAAGUUUUAACUUUUAAUUAAGCAAUUUGGUGUUGAUAUUCAUUUUUCUGUGGGUUUUUUUACUUUGUCAGUUUGUCAUAUAACUUCAUAUAUAUUUGUUUCGCUUGACUUUUUGCAUAAGAUAAUAAAUGUAUAUAUAGAUGUUUUCCUUGAGAAAUGGAUCAAUGAUAUGUAAGAAUUAAGAUAGUUUAAACAUCUUUGUACACUACUAGUAAUUUGAUUCCCAGGUAAAAAAUACUUAAAUGCAUGUGAGCGAUGAUCCUGUCAAAUACAUUAGCAUGAAAAAUCAAACCUGAAAGUGAUGGAAGCUGCAAUCCUUCAUAUAUGCAAUGACCUGAUCCUUCCUCCUGUACGUAUUCAUGCUCCCUCUUACCUUAUUUCUACACACCAUUGAUCUACCUUCCAUAACAAGAAAUCGUGUGAAACAUUUGCAGUGAUCAAAUAUACUUCUUAAGCCACCUUUUCUGAUAAAAAAAGUAUGACAGAUCAUCAGAGAAUUUACCCUGCUAAUGAUAUGGAGCCCAGAAAUUAAUCAUACUGCUCAUCUAACUUUAAGAAGAACAAUAAAAAUAAAAUCCAAUGCAUUUAACUGCUCAUCUACUUUUAUUUUAUUUACAGUUGAUGUCCUAUGGGGAAAUCCUACACGCCGGUCCAUAUCACCAGCUAUUGGCUUCAAGCCAAGAAUUCAAUGACCUUGUCAAUGCACACAAAGAGACCGCUGGUUCUGACCAAUUUGUGAGUGCUACUUUUUCCAAGAAACAUUCAACUUCCAUAAAUAUUGUGCAAGCUUCCGUAUUAAAGCAGUAUAAAGAACCAAAUGGAAAUCAAUUAAUUCAGCAAGAAGAGAGAGAAAAGGGAGACGCGGGAUUGAAGCCUUACUUCCAAUAUCUAAAUCAGAUGAAAGGCUAUGUAUUAUUCUUUGCGGCUUCCCUUUGUCACCUAAUAUUUUUGGUUUGUCAGAUAUUGCAAGACUCAUGGAUGGCUGCUAAUGUUGACAAUCCGCUUGUUAGCACAUUGCAACUGAUUUUAGUGUAUUUCCUAAUUGGUGUUUUAUCAUUGAUUUUUCUGUUCAUCAGAUGUCUACUUGUAGUUACUUUGGGUCUUCAAUCAUCAAAAGAUUUAUUUUCACAGAUGAUGAACUCCCUCUUCCGCGCACCCAUGUCAUUUUAUGACUCUACUCCAUUGGGAAGGGUGCUUAGUAGGGUAAGCAUAAUAAACAUUAUUUACCUUCCUAUAGAAUGUACGGGAAGAAAUAAUAUUCUAAUUGUUAUUUGUGUUUAGGUUUCAUCUGAUCUGAGUAUUGUGGAUCUUGACAUUCCAUUUAGCCUCACUUUUGCUGUGGCGGGCACAAUAGCUCUUUAUUCUAAUCUUAUAGUUUUGGCAGUUGUCACAUGGCAAGUCUUGAUAGUGGCCAUACCAAUGGUUUAUGUUGCUAUUCAUAUGCAGGUAAUAUACAGAUUCAAUUUUAAAUUGUAUUGCAAUAGUGGUAUUAUGUUAAAAAAGCAAUCAAAUUUAAGUACACAAUGGUCAUUCUUUUUUAAGUAUAUGCACAAAUUUUAAAUUAAACUUUGAACCAUUCGUUAGCUUCUUUGUGUAACAUUUUAAUAACUUUUUAUAAUAAUUUUUUGUAUCUUUGUGUGUUUUAAGCAGAGAUACUACUUUGCCUCAGCAAAAGAAGUAAUGCGGUUGAAUGGCACAACAAAAUCCUCUUUAGCAAAUCAUGUAGCCGAAACUGUUGCUGGAGUUGUAACAAUCAGGGCUUUUGAGGAGGAGGACCGUUCUUUUGAGAAGAAUCUUGAUCUAAUUGAUAAUAACGCUGGUGCUUUUUUUCAUAGCUUUGCCUCAAACGAGUGGUUGAUCCAACGGUUAGAAACAAUCAGUGCAGUUGUUCUCACCGCUGCAACAAUUUGCCUGGUUAUGCUGCCCCCUGGAACAUUCCCCUCAGGUGAUAAUUUGGAUUUUAUUAUCUCUAAAAUGUCAUUUAUUAUUAUUAUUUUAAUUAUCCUAAAAGUGUUUGUUUUUCUCAUUGAAAAUAACUUAUAUAUAGUUUCUAAAUUUUAUCAUCUUUCAUUCCAGGAAUUAUUGGCAUGGCUCUAUCUUAUGGCCUAUCACUAAACGGUGCUUUAGUAUUUUCAAUUCAGAACCAAUGCACUCUAGCUAAUCGCAUAAUAGCAGUAGAGAGGCUAAAUCAAUAUAUGCAUAUACAAAGUGAGGCCGAAGAAAUAGUAGAAGGAAAUCGUCCUAAUUUGAAUUGGCCAAUUGCGGGAAAAGUAGAAAUAAAUGACUUGAAGGUAAAUGGUACUACUUUUGAAAUUGGAGUAAAUGAGUUUAGUUCUUGAAUGUGUGAAUCAUUAUCACUAUAGUCCUUGGAUGUAUUAGAAUUAAAAAAACAUUCUUGAAUAUGUCUUCUGUUGGUCAGUUUGAUCCUCAAAUGUGUUUUCGUUAGUUAGUUAGUUUGGUUUUCUAAUGUUUCUUCCAUAAGUCAAUUUGAUCUCUGUAAUUACUAAGAGAAGACAGACACAUGCAAUGAUGUUUUUGUGAUUUCGAUAUACUCAUAAACAACAUUGACGUCGCCUCACACAUUUGAGGACCAAAAUGUUUGUUUAUAGUUUUUAAAAGUUUUAAGCAUAUUGCCUAUACCAGAUACGAUACAGACAUGGCGGGCCACUUGUUCUUCAUGGGAUCACAUGCACAUUUAAAGCAGGUCACAAGAUCGGUAUUGUUGGCAGAACAGGCAGUGGGAAGUCAACUCUUAUUGGUGCUUUGUUUCGUCUUGUGGAACCAGCAGGAGGAAAAGUUGUAGUUGAUGGCAUAGACAUCUCAUCUAUUGGCCUUCAUGAUUUGAGGUCGCGUUUUGGAAUUAUACCACAGGAUCCUACUCUUUUUAGUGGGACAGUAAGAUUUAACUUGGACCCUUUAUCUCAACACACUGAUCAGGAGAUAUGGGAGGUAAAACAAGCUUAAUUUAAAUUUAGUUUAUCUUUGCAUUGCAUAGAGAGCGUGGACUAAUUCUUGAUCCAAAUGAAGGUUCUUGGGAAGUGUCAGUUACGAGAAGUUGUCCAAGGAAAAGAAGAGGGUUUAAACUCUUCAGGUACAUUUUCAAGCUUUGCCAUUAUAGCUAUAUGCUGGAAGUAGUUUUUUUUUUCCAGUUAAUAAUGACAAGUGAAAAAUUAUUACCUAGUUGUUGAAGAUGGAUCAAACUGGAGCAUGGGACAACGGCAGUUAUUUUGUUUGGGGCGUGCUCUUUUAAGGAGAAGUAGGAUAUUAGUAUUGGAUGAAGCAACUGCAUCAAUUGAUAAUUCUACUGACUUGAUUGUGCAGAAAACCAUAAGGGCUGAGUUUGCAGAUUGUACGGUGAUUACAGUAGCACAUAGGAUACCAACUGUGAUGGAUUGCACUAUGGUUCUUGCUAUAAGUGAUGGUAAGUUUCUUUUUGAGUUUUAUCAUCCCUCACUCCUUCUAUCUCAUUUAACAAACACUUACAGACUAAUCAAUAGCUCCAUACCCAUUUUCUUAUGUUGGUGAUACAUAAUCUGGUACUAAUUCUUGAAAAAGGUAAGACUACAAACAGUAGAGGUUAUCUGACACACACCAAACAUAGGUUUUUAUUUAAGAGUUUGACCUUGUAUAGCGCAUAAAUGGUAACACUUAAAAUAUGUUUGAUCAUUUACUUGUUUUCUUCGAUGAAAAGGAAGCCACUGACUGUGUUUUCAGGAAAAUUGGCGGAGUAUGAUGAGCCAAUGAACUUGAUGAAGAGAGAAGAAUCGAUGUUCGGGCAACUUGUCAAGGAAUACUGGUCUCAUAUGCAGUCUGCAGAAUCACAUUGACGCUACCUAUAUAUUUUAAGCCAACACUAUUUUUCGCUCACUUUCUUUUAUUUCUCUUGUACAAGCAAUAAAUUAAGAAAGUGAGCAGAAUCUGAAAUGUGUUCUGCUAGGAUAAAUCGUGAGGCCUAAGAGAUUGUAGCAAAAUGAAAUUAGGCCGACAAAUAAGGGCCUGUGAGUUUAUGGAAGAGGAAAUAAACAAGUUGGCUGGAGUGAGUGUGGGGAAGAUUCUACAGUUAAAGAAGGAGAUGGAUAAUGAUGAGUGCAUCUGGAAUUUUGUGGAAAGAGAGGGUGCGGUAGAGUGAAGGAGUUGGUCCUUCCUCAAGGGUUUCUGUUAUCUUUCUUUUUGUUUUUUUCUUCAUCUUACAUAGGAGUAGCGCUCCAGUCAGAAUUUUAUUUUUAUAGUUUUUCAGUUGAAUAUGUUUUCAACAGGGUCACUUUAUCUAAUAUAGAUUUAAGUGUCAAUAUUAAUUUUGCUUUACCUUUCAGAUUUUGGUUCCUAUCAGAAACUAUCAUACUUAGAACCUAACAUAACAGUAAGAGACAAUAUCAUGUUCCUCUGAUUCUUUUUCCCAUGGAAUUAGAAACUAAAUUUAGGCAGCAAUACACAUAACACUAGAAAUCAAACACGCUAACAAAUUAAAUUAAAAGCGAAACUACAAUCACUGGAGCAACUUGAUUGCUGACCUAAUGUCAGCUUCCUUGUUCUCAUAGAGUGGUCGCCAUCAAAGUCUUAAAAACGGUCUGCGACCGCGAAAACGGUCAGGUGCCGAUACCAAUUCCAUUAUUAACCACUUUUAUGUUGAAAACAAAUUGCACUUAAAUCACACUGCGACAAAAGCAAUCAGUGUCGCAACAUCUGUACCAACCGAAAUCACGAAAGCCUUUACGCGACCGCAACGGCUUUUUAAAACCUUGGUCGCAAUCAUGGGUGCAACUUGCAACAGAUGAACACUCUUUUAUACAUCAGAUAUCUGAUAUGGCUCUAAUUUUUUUUCAAAUUCUUCAAGUUUUUAUCUAUUCAAACACUCUUUUAUACAUCAGAUAUCUGAUAUGGCUCUAAUUUUUUUUCAAAUUCUUCAAGUUUUUAUCUAUUCCUUUUUGCAAUUAUAUACCUAAGAAUCACAAUCUUCAUGAUUAUGUAAAAUUAAUCAAUAUUCAACCUUGAAUCUUUGAAAACGCAAUGAUUCUCAUAAUUCAACGUUAUAAAUUAUUUCGAAUUUGUAUUUCUAUAACCAAGCACGUAUACAAAAAAAAUUGAAAAAUUCAGAAAAGGAUAUGGAGAAAUUGGGAGUGACCUUGGAUUGAAGCGUGAAGCCGUGACAAUGUGAUCAGUGACAGUGAAAGGGACCGUCAUCAACCAGUGGAGCUCUAUGGACCGUCGCUGGACGCGUAAUGCGGCGACCGGCGACGUCGUCAUUGCAGUUGCAGUUGCAGCUCCGUGGAAAUGAAAGGAAGCGAGAUUUGAAGGAGGUUUUUUUCAGCCAAAUUAUGAUGCUGCG
rnacentral:lncRNA from 1 species